AUUGAACGCUGGCGGCAGGCCUAACACAUGCAAGUCGAGCGGAUGAAGGGAGCUUGCUCCUGGAUUCAGCGGCGGACGGGUGAGUAAUGCCUAGGAAUCUGCCUGGUAGUGGGGGAUAACGUCCGGAAACGGGCGCUAAUACCGCAUACGUCCUGAGGGAGAAAGUGGGGGAUCUUCGGACCUCACGCUAUCAGAUGAGUCUAGGUCGGAUUAGCUAGUUGGUGGGGUAAAGGCCUACCAAGGCGACGAUCCGUAACUGGACUGAGAGGAUGAUCAGUCGCACUGGAGCUGGGACACGCUCCAGACUCCUACGGGAGGCAGCAGUGGGGAAUGUUGGACAAUGGGCGAAAGCCUGAUCCAGCCAUGCCGCGUGUGUGAAGAAGGUCUUCGGAUUGUGAAGCACUUUAAGUUGGGAGGAACGGCAGUAAGUUAAUACCUUGCUGUUUUGACGUUACCAACAGAAUAAGCACCGGCUAACUUCGUG
rnacentral:rRNA from 1 species